CGUACACGUGGACAUCUAACCUAAGGUGGGGGAUAACCCCGGGAAACUGGGGAUAAUACCCCAUAGACUAUGGGUGCUGGAAUGCUCUGUAGUUGAAAGGUCCGCCGCCAUAGGAUGAGUCUGCGGCCGAUUAGGUUGUUGUUGGGGUAACGGCCCAACAAGCCUGUAAUCGGUACGGGUUGUGGGAGCAAGAGCCCGGAGAUGGAUUCUGAGACACGAAUCCAGGCCCUACGGGGCGCAGCAGGCGCGAAAACUUCACAAUGCGGGAAACCGUGAUAAGGGAACUCCGAGUGCCCGUAAAAUCGGGCUGUCCACCAGUGCAAAUAACUGGUGAAGAAAGGGCCGGGCAAGACCGGUGCCAGCCGCCGCGGUAAUACCGGCGGCUCGAGUGGUGGCCACUAUUACUGGGCUUAAAGCGUUCGUAGCUGGUCUGUUAAGUCUCUGGGGAAAUCUACUGGCUUAACCAAUAGGCAUCUCAGGGAUACUGGCAGACUAGGGACCGGGAGAGGUGAGGGGUACUCCAGG
rnacentral:rRNA from 1 species